CUUCGCCGCGCCUCGCCCGCAGCCCGCGACGCCGCUGCUCUGCCUUCGCCGUGCCCCGAAGCCCGCGACGCCGCUGCUCUCCCUUCGCCGUGCCCCGAAGCCCGCGACGCCGCCGCUAUGCCUUCGCUGUGCCCCGAAGCCCAAGAUGCCGCAACUCUGCCUUCGCCGUGCCCCGAAGCACGCGACCCGCAGCACCCUCGCUUAGCUCCGAGCUUUCCCCGAGCGACGCUGCUGUAGCUCGCCGCUUGCCCUCGAUGCCACUGUCGCUCGCCCUCGACCACCGCCGCUCGCCCUCGCCACCGCUGACCUCUACGCUUACCUCUUCUUGUGAGGGUCUUGGAAGCUCAUUGCUGAUCCAAUCAUGGCUGGUGAAGUGAAGAAAAACAAUUUGGGCAUUGGUGCUCAUAAUUCUGGAGAGGUGGCGCCCGAAGAUGAUAUAUACGAGCAAUUAUGGUCACUGUUAGAGCACAUUUCAUCCAUCAUGUGCUCGAACUACUGGAUUGUUCGUGAGUGUAAAAACAGUUUGUUUAUUAUUGCUUCUAAAAUGCUGUUUGCUGUUUGUGUUAUAUUCUCUUUGAUGAAUGAGAAGUUUGUGUAUUAUUGCUGCA